CCUUUCCCGGUGGGAGCGAUGCCGCCGGCCGGGCCCGGCGCUCCCCCGGCGGGCAGGCUCCGCCCGCGGGCGCCGUCUCCGGGGCGACGCGUGGGGCCGGCGGGGCCGCCGCUGCCGCCGCCGCACCGCCAUGGGCCCCAAGGCGCCCAAGUCCCUCCGGGGUUCGCCGGCGUCCGUGGUGUCGAGCUGGGAGCCCGAGCUGGUGUCCGCCCGCCUCGAGGAGGAUGACUGGAAGCCUAGCAUCGCUUUCAUUGUUGGGACCAGGAUUGAGGAUGAAAUCCACACCCAGGCCCUGGCUCUUGCUGUGCAGGUGCCACUGCGAAAGCUCUUCAGCGUGGUAACGCGUGAAGACAUUUACAGACAGAUUGCAGAAUCUGGGGGUCAAAAGGGAAAAAAGGCUAAGAACGUGCCUGUGUUCUAUGAGGUGAUGGAAUUAGCCAAAGCCUUUCUGGACCAGGGUGAAGAAAUUCCUGUAACACUAACUGGAAAGAUUUUGAAAUUUCAAUUGCUUUGUCUCAAAGAGAAGGAUCUGAACAGAAGAGAAGAAGAAAAGAAGGCAGAACAGCAGCAGAAAGAAAAGGAGAAAGAAAAUGCUAGACCUUCUCGUAAGACAUCUGGAAAAGAUAGUAAAGGAAAAAAGUCGGUGGCAACACCCUCUCUUAAAAAGGACACCAAAUUGAAACAACGAGGAAAAGUGGAAGUGAAAGACAAUUACAUUGAUGAUGAACCAGAUGAUGGUGCUCAUCAUUACUUUAUCAUUCUGGGUUUCCCUAAUCUUCAGUUGUUGCCUGUCUUGACUGACCUUGGGAUUAACAUUUCAAGUGUAAUUCAAAUUUCUUCUGAGAAUUACACACCGUUGCAGAUACACUUAGAAGCAACUAAACUUGAAGGACAAUCUUCUAUUUCACCUGAAGAUGUAGAAGCAGAGAAAAGGAAGAAAAAUGAAGCUAACAAAGACCUGGAAACAUUUUGGAAGUUCCUGGAGCCCGUUCUGAACAGUGGAAAGCAUGGAUCAAGUCUCUUUGAUGUUGCCAGGCUUCAUUACCUAGUUAAGGAAAGUGACUUUCCCCCUGAUUGGUCAGACAGCAAAAACCUGCUUGCAUUUGGUACUUUGCUGUUUGAACACAUUGCUUGUCUGAUGUAUGACUGCCUGGACUGGAGAAGACAGCAUUGCAACUACUUGGAAAACACCAAGUUUUUUAAUGUAUCAUUUUUACCAGAGAGCAAAUCAACACAACCACCUGAAGUUGAGGAACAACCAGCACCAGCACGACAGAUGACACCUACAAAGAAAAAAGAGAAACCAGAAGAAAUUCUGCCAACAGUAGUUUUGUCAGAUACAGAUGAAGAAACUUCUAUUCUUCCGGUGGACAUGAGGUAUUACAAUGACUUGCUGAGUCAAAUUCCUGAGGAGUACUUUUCUGUACCCUUAAUGCUGAGCUGCAUGUUGGAGCAGGUUAUUGCAAGUGAAGAAGACCUUACACCACCGAGUCUGGUGGCAUUGGAGCCUCAGGCAGAUGGGCUGCAUCAUGCCAUUGCAGAACACAUAAUCUCUGUCCUUCCUUCUCUUUCACUUCCCAUGAGUGAAAAAAAGGAUCUGUAUGACUACUUUUCUCUUAAAUAUGUUGAACAAGAGACUGUCACCCUCCAGUACCCUCUCCUGUUUAACUACCAUGAUGCCCUGGCUCAGCGCUUGCACCUGCUGAAGAUCCAGGAGAACUUCAAUCCAGGAAAGAUUGAGCGUGAAAUGAUGGAUAAACUGCCUCUUACAGAACUUAUCCAUUUCACCCCUCCUUCAGCUGAAAACAACACUAAACGCUUGGCCAGAGUUCAUGAGCUCAUGCAUUAUUUUACUACUGAACUUAUGAGUUGGGCUGAAGUAGAAAGAGCCUUCAGAGUAUUUACUUUUGAAAGCCUGAAGCUAACUGGGCUGAGUGACUCUGGUUUCCUGGAGAGCUCUGGAUCUAGGGUUGGAGGUGAUUCUGAAGUGUCUGAUAUCCCUUGGGAUAAUCCAGCCAUGUUUGCAAGACAGCUGAGACAACUCUUGCUUAUGGAAAAGAAGCCUAGUGGGAAAUCUCCAAGAGGCUCUGAGCAUAAAGAAACAAGUGAUGAAGAUGAAGAGGAUGAAGAAGAUGAAGAGGAUGAAGAAGAUGAAGAACAUGAAGAAGAUGAAGAACAUGAAGAAGAUGAAGAUGAUGAUCUGGUUCAUCCUCUUUUGAAUGUAGAAUUGGAUCUUCUUUAUGAUGAUAUGGUGAGUCAGGAAAAUUACAGUCUAGGACCAAGUUUGGAAGAAAUAAAAAAGACACAGAGGCGUUGCUUGACAGACUGGAGUUUGGAAGAGCAUUUUCCACCACAUGUUCUUCGUCAGGUUCUUCAUACAGCAUCCCAAGAAUACAGAUGUAUUGAUUCCUUUUAUCAUACUCAAGAUAACUCUUUACUAAUGGUUUUUCACAAUCCUAUGAAUCAACAUCGUCUGUGCCAAGAGACUUGGAAUAUUGCUCUGCACUCUAAUGUUGGAUUCAGGAACUAUCUUGAGCUGGUGGCCAACUCAAUUGAAGAUUGGGUGAAAGAAGAAGAAGAAAAAUACCAAAAAGAGAAGAUGGCCAGCAUAUCCAAACCUGAGAAUGUAACAGAGUCUCAAUCCAAGAAUGAAGAAAGUCUCAUUAUCAGAGAAGAUUCUCUAAAGGCUUGGAAGAUGGAGCAGGACCAAUUACGAGAGGAAGAAAAAAAAGAAGAGGAAGCAAAACAAGAAAAAGCAAGAAAAUUACAAAGUAAAAAGAAAGGUCAGGGUGUAAAAGAUAAAGAAAGCAAGGAAUUAAAGAAAAAACCUUCUGAAGAGAAGUCUCAAAAUGAGUCAAAAAACAUGGCUGAACUUGAGGAGGAUCAUAGCAUUUCAGAACCAUGUUCUGAGAAAGUUUAUAAGUUCCAUGGCUACAAUACAGGGAAGGAUAUCAUUCAAGUAUCAGGAACCAUUCAAUAUCUUUUCCCAUCCGAUGGAGGACAGAUUCAAGUAGAGAAGAUAGAGUUUGUAAAAAAAACUUUCAUAAAGGUGAAAGUCAUAAAAGACAACCACAAUUUCUUCAUUUAUAUCACAGACCCCAAGAAAAACUUCAAAGAAGCUGAAGAGCAAGAAAUUAAUGAAGAACAGCAAAUUAGAUCAGGAAAAUUGAAAAAUCAAAAGAAAGCUGUGAGCAAGUUUGGAUCUUUUUCAGCCACCUUGGAAAAUGGAAUCCAGCUGUCCCUGAGCUAUUAUGGACCUACAGGGGAGACAGCAGAUGAUGAAACAAGUCUUGUCUUAGCAAGAAUUCUGAACAUCCCUUCUGUUCAUCUUCCAACCAUAAUUCCAACAACUGUUCCUCCUAUUACACUGAUGCCAGCUUCAGGGAAAAGAGAUAAGUCUGACAGAAGAAGAUCAGGAAAAGCUUCUUCCAAAGCUUCUUUCAAAGGAAACCGUAGCAAACGAGCAUCUGAUGACCUGGUACAGCAAGAAGAAAAAAAAAUGGGAAAGGAAGAACCAGUUCCCCAAGCACAAGAGAUGUCAGAUGUUCCUGCUUUUCCGAGUUUGAAUGUUUCCUAUCCAAAUGGACUUGUAUUAACUUUCCUUGGGGAAAGGUUUCGAGUGUUUCCUGAGACACAGCAAAAUUUGAAAGGUGAAGCCACUGCCCCUGAAGCAGGGAAAGAGCUGGUAGAGGAAGGUGAGGCCAAAGCAGAUGACGGAGAGGAGGAAGAGGUUAUGCAAAGUGGAGAGGAGAAACAUCAGGUUACAGAAGGUGAAAUAAAGCAUGAAGACACCAAAAGUGAACAGGCUGAGCAGCCUACUGUGGACAUUAUGGUUAGACAGAGUUAUCCUCAAGUGGUAAAGAGCUCUCAUCUUUAUUCACCUCUGGCAAGGCAAACAGAACAAGAGGUAUCAAGAGUCAUCACUAGUCAAGGAACUGUCAUAAAGCACCUGAAGGAUGGAUCUACCCAGAUUCUGUUUGCUGAUGGCACAGUGAGUAUGAGCCCUGAUUCUGGUCCUGUCUUACCACCACCUACAAUUCCAGAUGAAAUGCAACCCUUAGCAGAAUCAGAGCUUUUACCUGAGAACAGCACUACUAAGAAAGGAAGAGGCAGUAACAAGAGCACUCUGUUACAUUCACGCAAGGGUGAAGAGUUUGAAAAGGCCAGUUCUGCACAACCAAAGGCAGGAACCUGGAUAACAACAACUCCAUUAGGCAUCCGAGUGGGCACAGAGGGUGCAACAAGAAUGGAUCUGAAGCCACUCUUAAUGUAUCAGGCCAUUAGCCCGGUUGAUGGAACGAUUAUGACUGUACGAGAAGAUGAAGUGAUAAUUGUUGAGAAGCCGCAUGGUAACAGAAUAGUAGAGCAUGCUGAUGGUACCAGGAUCACAACAUUUUAUGAAAAAUGUGGACACCUUUCUGUACGAGAGGCUAGUGUGGAAACAACAGAUGAACCCUCAGGAGCCAGAAAAACGCUGAAAGGUACACGAGUAGAGAAUCCUGAGUUUGCUACUGUUAUAACAAAUUGUAAGAAUGGUACUUGUUAUACUACCUUUGGAGAUGGGACAUCUAUUCUAGCAAAGCCACAGGGAACAUAUCAGGUUUUACCCAGCAAGGGAGGCUUUCUUUUCUUUGAUGAAGAUUGUUCAGUAGUUUAUAGCCAUGAAGUUUAUGAUUUCAUGAGCAAGGAAGAGAAACAAGCAGGGAGAUACAUUAUGAAACACACUUCCAGCACUAUUUGUGAGAUGACCGAUCCUGAAGGAAAUACUUUCAAGGUCCUGGCUGAUGGCAGCACAGAUGUGUGCAUUCCCAGCACCGGCUCUGAUGGCAGGGAGGACAGCCCAGCAGCAGAUGAGGUUAACAAACCCAUCACCUAUAAUGAGCAUGCCCCCAGGUUUUUCGUCAUCUCUGCGGAUGGUUCUGGAACGGAGCUCCUGCGAAAAAAGGAUGUAAACAGGUUUUUGGCUGAGGCCUGCAGGGAUCCUGCCACUGCAGUCUUGCAGGAUCGUGUAGAAGAACAGCCAGGUGUUUCAAGUAUUACCACCCUCCGCCCUAUGGCUGAAGCAUCCCCCUGGGUGAUGAAGAAAGAGCCAGAGAGUAUUGUUCCUCCAUGUCUUCAGUCAGAGGCUCAGAAAGAAUCUUCUCCUCCUGAGGGGGAGAUCACAGGUCAGCCUGAGACCAGAGGGUAUGUUUGGAAGGGUCUCAGCAUUGGAGCAGCACCCUCGCCAGGCCCUGUGCGAAAAUGUCCCAAAAAACUGCAAAUCCGCCAACUGUUCCAGUAUAAGCCACUCUGUGAUGAACUGAGAGAAAAACUGCAGCUUUCCCUCAAGGAAUAUAUAGACAACAUCUUAAAGCAGGAAAAUGAGCUGGAAGAGAUAGAUGUGAAAGAACCAAGAACAGAAGAGGAAAAGGAGAGUGCUGCAAGUCUCCUUAAACUCAUGAGAUCCUUCCCUGACUGGGAGAAGUCAACUGAAAAGCUCAGUGAUAGAGCCCGUGUGAGUGAGCUGUAUGAAAAGGCAGUGGCUCCUUCUGCCCGGGCUCACCCAAAGGCUGCACAAAGAGAGGAGCAGCAGCAGAGUCUAGAAGGAGAAACACAAACAUCCAAGUGGCAAAGCAAACUAGAACAGACCAGGAAAGAACUGGAUGAACAGAAGACUACGUUUGCAGCAAUAAAAAACAGAAUAUUUGCUCCAUAUUUUGAAUCUGAAUUCAGCAAGGGCUUUUUCCAAGACGAGUUUCCUGAUUUGGAAGCAAUGUACAAGGAACUUCCUCCACUUCAAAAAGAAGGAAGUUUGACUUGCCCUCUGUGGAUGAAAAGAGAACCCAGUGGAGCUGAAUUUCUUGAUUCCACAAGUGAUUCAUCAUUUUCAUCUGGCCUUGCGCUGCAGGAUCCUUCCAAACAGGAUGAUGGUUCCAGCGGCACGACAGAUCUAGAUGUGACAGCAAGAGCAGAAGAGAUGCCCGUUCAACAUAAAGUUCCAAGUCUGAUGGUGGAUGUUACAGGACAGACAAGAAAAGAGAAAGUAAUAUUACCAUCAUACCUUCAGGGAAAAAAACCAAACACCAUACCAAACAAAAAGAUAGAAGAUCCGGCCUCAGGAAAGGUCAGCAUAUCUUCUGUUGCAACAAGACAGGAUCUUACCAGCUUCCAUCUCAUCCCACCCAGGGUGACAUUCGGAGUGCUAAAGGCAGGCUGCACCUAUACAACCACAGUAGUCAUGAAGAAUGUUGGUGUGAACUUCUCAAGGUUUCGGGUGAAGCAGCCACCUCCACACACAGGACUGAGAGUGAUGUACACACCAGGACCUGUGGCAGCAGGCCUGCAGGUUGAACUGGAGAUAGAGAUCUUUGCCAUGCUGAUUGGAAAGGAGAACACUAGUGGCCUUGAAGAAGUUUCCCAUGAUAUUGAAAUAUUGACAGAAACUGAAACUCUUCUCCUGCCUGUGAAAGCAACCAAAUGGUCAAGAUCCUUAACACGGAAUUCCACCUGUGUUAUCCAGUGCCAUUUAUGAGCGCCGCCCAGAAGGAUACCCCCAGGGAGGGAUGGCAGCAGCAGUCCAGGAAGUUCCUACAAGCCCCAAGCCACGGUUACGGAUCACACUCCCACGAAAGCCUUUGUAGUUAGUGUUGCAGUCCUAGAAGAUGAACAUGAGGAUCAGCAACACUGAAAUACCUACAUUUUAGUCCAAUCUUAUGGAAACAUACAAUGUAAUUUUUUCAUUCAUUUUACCAGAAUAAAUGAGAAUAAAUAUUUUACCUUUUCCCUGUUACUGGGAAAGGUGGUCCAAAAGUU